UAUUUUAUAAAUAUUUGGUUCUAAUAUAUAGAACUUGUAAUUUUGGUGGUGAAGUUUAAUUGUAUUAAACACUAAACAUGGUGUUUUGAGAUGUAUUCUACUCAACAUGUUAUUAUAUGAUUUCAAGAAUACAUAACAUUGAUGCUAUUCUUGUGAAUUAUGUGUGUCUAAUACUCAGUUACCAACUGUUUCUUGGUUGUUGUUUUUAGAGAAUAUAAUAGUUUUAAAUAAGGAAACAAUACAUGUUUAAUA